CAGUAGCCGCGGUAACACGAGGGGGGCAAGCGUUGUUCGGAAUUAUUGGGCGUAAAGGGUGCGUAGGCGGUUUGGCAAGUUUGGUGUGAAAUCUUCGGGCUCAACUCGAAGUCUGCAUCGAAAACUGCCGGGCUUGAGUAUGGGAGAGGUGAGUGGAAUUUCCGGUGUAGCGGUGAAAUGCGUAGAUAUCGGAAGGAACACCUGUGGCGAAAGCGGCUCACUGGACCAUAACUGACGCUGAUGCACGAAAGCUAGGGGAGCAAACAGGAUUAGAUACCCCCGUAGUCCCUGUCUCUUAUAC
rnacentral:rRNA from 1 species